AACAUGUUUCCUUAGAUCCACCUUUUGUGGUUGUCAAGUUUAUGCUGUGUUCUGCUAACAGCAAUUCAUUUUGCUUUAGUAGUUCCAGUCAACUGACAUCCAGCAACUUUUUGUUGUACAGUCAAAGGUGCUUGAGUCAUUGACAUGUGAGACUAAUAUACCUGCUAGUUGGUUUUCUUCCUGAUGGCAGUGGCUCAAACCCAUUUCCCACCUUCAGGGUUUAACCAAGUGCAGACACU